GUCUUUUUUCAGCUCAGCAGAUAACACUUCCUCCACCACCUGCAUGAAACCAGCUGGUUGCCCAGAGCGGGAUGAGUCUGUAGUGACCCUACCACGGACUGCCACUUCACCUUGGGACCCAGUUGAGGAAGAACUCCCACAGAGGGGGGGGGCUCAGACAUGGAGAUCAAAUGAGAGCAACUUUUCCUGUCGACCCUCGGUGGUUGUACUGGAGGUGAUGCCAUCCGCCGCAUGCUGCGGCAAGAUGCAACGCAUGAUGUCCUGAGACAGUGCAGCUUGCGGGGCAGAAAGACAAAGAAAGCCUUCCAGGACCUGGCUGUAUGCAGGGUUAUAACAG